AGAGAGAGAAAAAAAAAAGGAGGAACAUGAUAAUUUACGAAAAUAUGAUGUCACGAGAAAUUAAAAGGCAUUCAUCACAACAUAUAUCUGCUUAUAAUGUUUGUUUAAGUGGUGUUUCAUGUCACAGAUCCCCGCUGCGUGUGUGGGGAGAGGAAAGGAAAGCAGGAAGGCACCUCACCGUUUUUCAUUCCAUUCUUAAUCGCUUCUCCCUCCAACAUCCAACUCUCGGCGACUGCGUUAAAAAAGCAUAAGUUGCUCAGGUGGAAGGCGCAGGCGAGCAGGUGGCUGGCGGUGAUCCACUCGGCCCUCUUGGAAACGUGAUGAAAUUUGUCAAGUUUAAACAGGAUUUGAAAGUGAAUCCGUGUACCAGGCCGAACACGUAACUCAGCAAUGCAGUGAAGAGCACUUACAAAAUGAAGAACAUGAAAAGAAGGAACGGAAGAAGGAGAAAAAAGGAAGAAGAGGAGGAAAUACCACUGCGUACUCAAGAUAAAACACAAGGGCGGUGUGACCCUGGCGUGAGGGAGGCAGCCCCAAGGGUGACGCGUCCCAGCACGGCCCGCACACACCACACAGAACCCUUUGACGUGAAGUAAGGUUAGUUGAAGUCUAAGCAGGGCUGUGGCGCCUUGUAUGGCCACGGACAGAUCGUGAAAAGCCGCCACGAGUCUCUGGUAUGUGAAGUGAUGUGGAGAGGUGGUGGAGGAGGUGUUGUGACUAGUGGAGUGAUCUUGUGUCAGAAAUGGAGGCCGUGAGUAAGGAGUGAUGGGUUUCUAGAGACAGGGAAUGGAGGGUCUGAGGUGAUGGAAGUGAUGGGUUUGUACUCGUAGAGGCAAGGAAAGAAGGUGAUGGUGACGUGGUGGGAUGUGAUAGGUUUGUAUAGGUAAAGGAUUAGAGGUUUUGAUGAAGUGAUGGUUUGUCAUAGGGUAGUAGAGAGAAGGAAUGAAGGACGUGGUGGAUUACUGAUGGUUUGUGGUAGAUGUGUGGUUGCUGGGAGUGGAGACGGUAGUGGAUUAGUAAUGGGAUGUGGGAAGCUACAGUGAAGUGAUAGGUUUUGGGAUGGUUGUGAAGUUAUUUUUUAUGUAGGAGGGACAACGGCCAAGGGCAACAAAAAUCUAAUAAAAAAAAAAAAGCCCACUGACAUGCCGGUCCUCGCAUAGGGUCCAAAGCGGUAGUCAAAAAAUUGAUUAGCUAUGGUCAAAUUCCAAAGACACGACAGGGUAGAGUAUAAAGGAUGUCAAGAAACUGAAUAACAUUAUUGCCCUUACAAAUAUGUGGUUUUGAAAUAUAUGCUUAGUUUUUUGUGUACAGGAUUUGAUUCAAGCUUGUGUUACCUCGUGCCUAUUUGUAUUUAGCUUCUCCAGUCAAAUAUUGAGUUCUGGGUUUUUAGAAAGGAGGUAUGUGAUGGGUUUUAUUGUUUUAAGUGUCUGUAGUUGUGUGUGUGUGUGUGUGUGUGUGUGUGUGUGUGUGUGUGUGUGUGUGUGU